rnacentral:rRNA from 1 species
GACGAACGCUGGCGGCGUGCUUAACACAUGCAAGUCGAACGGAAAGGCCCUGCUUUUGUGGGGUGCUCGAGUGGCGAACGGGUGAGUAACACGUGAGUAACCUGCCCUUGACUUUGGGAUAACUUCAGGAAACUGGGGCUAAUACCGGAUAGGAGCUCCUGCUGCAUGGUGGGGGUUGGAAAGUUUCGGCGGUUGGGGAUGGACUCGCGGCUUAUCAGCUUGUUGGUGGGGUAGUGGCUUACCAAGGCUUUGACGGGUAGCCGGCCUGAGAGGGUGACCGGCCAAAUUGGGACGGGGGUACGGCCCGAACUCCUACGGGAGGCAGCAGUGGGGAAUAUUGCACAAUGGGCGGAAGCCUGAUGCAGCAAGGCCGCGUGCGGGAUGACGGCCUUCGGGUUGUAAACCGCUUUCGCCUGUGACGAAGCGUGAGUGACGGUAAUGGGUAAAGAAGCACCGGCUAACUACGUG